UCUAACCUCAGACCUGUCUACAUUUCUCCAUGGAAUGAGUGAUGCAAAGCAGUGCUUGUUAACUGCAAGGUGAAUGAAAUGCCAUCUUGGUCCUUCCUCUGCUCGAGAGGUUUGUUCCACAUCCAGAUCCUCUGCUGUUGCAUCAGGAGCUGCACACAACUGAGACCUUCCCUUCAUCUCCCUGGGAGGCUGCAGCCAGUUCAUCAAAGGGUAGUGAUCCAAGUCUCUGUCAUCUCCAGGAAUCAUUGCAGUGUGUUCACCCUUGGCUAAGCUUGAAGGAGCCCUGAAAGUUGCAG
ensembl:lncRNA